CCCGGCCCCGCAGGGCGGCGGCCCGAGCUCCAGACCUCCCCGCCUGUGUCGGGGCGCCGGGGCCCGCCCGGUCCCACCGCUGCCAGGCCACUGCUGGAGGAGAGCAGGGGGGAGAUUCAGUGGGACUGCAGAGCCGGACGGGGGGCUCCAUCUUACAACCCAAGAUCAUGACCUGCACCGAAAUCAAGAGUCAGACGCUCGGUUGACUGAGCCACCCAGGCUCCCUGUGGUAACAUGAAUCUUGCUACUGGAGAUGCAGAUGAUCCUACUGAAUCCAAAUCUGCAUUUUACCAGGAUCCCAGGUGGCAGUUUUGGAGAAAUAAGACUCAGGAGCCAGAAGCUGCUACUGAACAAAGAGGUUUAUGUUUUGAGGGAGUGGAAGUCAUGCCAUGACCUCUAUGUCAGCUUGUGCUGGCAAUGGAUUGCCCAUUCACCAGGAGAUGGACUUCCCAAGGCAGAGGCAUGCACAAGGAGACCUUCUUUCCCUCUGCAAAGGAGGAAGCUUGACGCCUGAGGGAGUUCUUGAUUCCAUGACUGGCUUAUUGAGAAUUUAUUGGACAAGUUGCACACACAGAUUAUCUUACAGAAUUCUAAGGGAUUUGCUGGCAGAAACUUCUAUCUAAAGGUCAAAAGGAGAAAAUGUCUCAGUUUCUAGAAAAGUCCAUGGUUAAUAUUAGCAAACCAAACAAUGAGUUGGGAAAACAGUUUUCUUUUUUUUCUUUCUUUUUUUUUUUUUCCUAUGAGGUUCACAAGGGAAGGGACAAGGACGGCCUCACUCACCUUGGCAUCUCCAUCAUAUAGCACAGGGACACAAACAGUAGUCACCCACUCAGUAAUGUCUACUGCAUGUAAGAAAGUUGCUUUUCACUCUCCUGGGAUAUUUCUGGCCCUAUACACAGGGUAAAAGGACUGGUCUAUUGGCUGUUGAAAGGAUAGAUAAGCAUCACAAAUCUGAUUAUCUGCUCCUUGCACUCUCAGAGAAGCCAUGCUGUUGAAUGGCAAAUAAUGCAGUCUUAGAGUUCUGUCUGAGUUCACUGGCCACCAAACCAGGGGAAGAGGAGAAAGGGGCCCAAUUGGCUCCUGGCAUUUAGGACUCUUCUACACAAAGUGUGAAAACUUCCCAUGAGGUCCUGCUCCUUUAGAAGAGGGUGCAUAGUCUUAUAUCUGCCCAGAAAUCUCAGAAGUUUUAGAAACAAAAUCUGUAGGAACUGGUUGACCCCACACGUUGCCCUAUCCACUUUCAAUGGUAAAUAGGAGGUCCUGUAUUCAAGAUUGGGAGAAAUAGAAAGUUUAAACUUUUCCAAAGUGUAGAGCUAGUUUUGAUUCCAUAAGUUGCCCUUUACUCUUCAAAAUAGUUUAUCCUAGUUUUAAUCUACUUAUAACUAGAGUUAAAAUAUGCUUUGGGUAUUAGAAGAUAUCUAAACUUUGAGCUUUUGAUUUCCAUUUAAAUGUUUGCUUCUCCCAAAAAUGAAUAAACAAACAGAAAAAUGUUUGCUUCCAUGGUAGAAUGGUUAUAACAUAGAAUCAAGGUAUUUUUUGUUUUACUAUGAAAUUUGCUAUAUCUGUAUUUCUUCACUGAAUCAUCCCAUAUGUUUCACUAGAUGUGUAUCCUAUGAGGGGAAAAUUUUUAUAAGGCAACAUAUUUGCAAUUUCCUUUUUUACAGUACAUUUUUCUAUAUCAUUUAACUUUAAAACUUUUUACUUGAAGGAAAUAUGAGCUAUUUCAUUCUGUGUCUAUAAUUAUCUUAUUUUCCAUCCAGAAUCAAAGGAUUUAAAAAACUAUCAAACCUAAUUUGUACCUGUAUAAUGUAUUUUCUGUAUAUUUUGACUAUGAAUCAAUUUAAAAGCAGCAAUUUAAAAAUAGGUUAGCCUGAACAACAACUACAACAUAAGAACAAAUCUACAAUCAAAUUAGUAGUCAAAUAACCAACGGCAAGUGGAAAAUUGGUCAACAUAUUAUUUCUUCUAUAACCUAAUUCAAAAUGUGACAUUUAAAAAUGUAAAUCUCUCUUUUCAAUGUUAGAGAAGCAUCGAUGAAUAUUUCUAUGAGUAGGAAAAUAUUUAUUAAAAUAGUGGCUACCUAUUGGUAUUGAUAUUAUUCUUCUAACUGUCGACUCUUUUAAGAGACAUCUGGGCCAGAUGGAACUCAAGGGCAAUGGAAAAUAGAACACAAAAUAUCAUCCACCUGUGAUGACCCACACAAAGUGGGAAAACCACAGUUCCAAUGCUUUCUACUUACAAACCUAGAAAAUAAGUAAUAAAUCAUUCUUUCAUUGGAAAAAAAAUGUCUCAAAUAGAUUGAUUGGAUGA